GCCCGGGGGAGCCAGGAGCCCCGUUGGGGUUUCCGAGAGCGGAGCCCGGAGUGGGUCGGAACAAUGUGUCUCCGCAGAGAGAUGGCCGUGAGUGCGGCCGCGGGGGCUGCGGAGCGCUCGGCGUGCUGACCGCGGGCUUCGGGGCAGGUUGUGCAGUGGACCGUCGCUGCCUUGGCUUAGCGAUCUCCUGAAAUAUUUUGUUGCAAUUUUUUUUAAAGCUGAAAAUGUAUUUAUUUUUAUAAAGGAGAAAAAGAUUUACCCCUAGUUAGCUGUUUAUUGUCAUGAUACGACCGGCCUGGAGGAAAAGCUGCAGGAGAGGCCUUGAAAAAGGUUACUCGCUUUCAGUGAGUGAUGGCUGCCUCGUGUGCUGGACGUGGGCAUUCCUGAAACCGACAGAUGAUGAUGCCCUUCUUUCCAAUUGGUGACUAAGAACUAAAAACAAGGUGCAGCUUGCUAGUGGCAGUGCUCAGGAAUCAGAAGACCAGGACCCAGGAAUCAGAAGACGUGUGUUGUAGUCCCUGGUUCUGCUACUUGAGUUUCCAUGUCUGUGUCCUCAUCAGUAACAAUGAGGCACUUUUUACUGUCUGAGGAAGCAUUCCUGUAAUUCAUUUUUCUUCACUGCAAUAUUAAGAAUUAUAUCAAAUUGAAAAGAUAUGAAUGAAUAUCCUAAAAAAAGAAAGAGGAAGACUUUACACCCUUCUCGUUAUUCAGGUU